rnacentral:lncRNA from 1 species
GAACACAGCCAAUAGAGCAUGGCACUGUGGUCUCUCUGCCUGUCCCUAACUCCUCCAAGAAGUUAGACAUGGCCAAUCCUCCAGCAUUGCCUGUCUGUGUUGAAGACAGGAAGCUGUAGUUUAGAGAGAAUGGUACAAUCCUGGGCUGGACCUGAACCCAGGAACAGAAAGAAAUGGUAUCGUUGGCGCUUUAGGAAUAGUUUUCUGAAGUUACAAUUGUCAAUCAAUCUUUUU